rnacentral:lncRNA from 8 species
AUGUUUUCAGGAAAACCACCAUUCUUCUCCGAGACGUUUUCUGAGUUGAUUGAGCUGAUAUUACUUCAGGAUCCUCAAUCUCCAAGGCAAACUGGUGCUUCUUCCUGCAAGCCUACACAAGAGUUCCAAAGCCUGCUUAAAGGUUUGCUUCAGAAAGACCCUCAGAAGAGGUACGUCCCUACUCCCUUCACCAAAUCAGAUUCUUGGUUUGAAGUUUCUAUGAUGGAUAAUUCAUAUUAUCCCUUUGACAUAUGACCUUUGGAAAGGGCGAUACCUAGUCAGUUGCACAACUGAAUGCCUUCAACAGAAAUGUGUUUUUUGCAUUUAACCCAACGCCUCUAAAUCA